UGGUAAUUAUUUAAACCAAAUCAUCAUGGCGGCCAUUUUUCCAUUCAGAGGAACUUGUCUCAUAAUCGAUACCCCUCGUUCAAUAUCACUAUUAUUUUCAUGUCUUUAUACCGCCGUUUAAACUAUUUUAAAAAAAUUAGUUUUUAAAGACCCAUAAUAUUUUCUUUCUACAAUUUCAGGUCAAGGUGAAGCUUUCUAUUAAGAGAAGAUUAGUUACUCAUUAAAUUUAAUUAAAUGAAAUAAUAAAAAAAUAUUUUAUCUAAACAGGAUUUGAAAGUAAUUGUCUAAUAAAAAUACACAUUGAAAUUUUUAAAUGGUGU
rnacentral:rRNA from 1 species